rnacentral:rRNA from 1 species
GAUGAACGCUGGCGGCGUGCUUAACACAUGCAAGUCGAACGAUGAAGCCCAGCUUGCUGGGUGGAUUAGUGGCGAACGGGUGAGUAACACGUGAGUAACCUGCCCUUAGCUCUGGGAUAAGCCUGGGAAACUGGGUCUAAUACCGGAUAGGAGCGCCUACCGCAUGGUGGGUGUUGGAAAGAUUUAUCGGUUUUGGAUGGACUCGCGGCCUAUCAGCUUGUUGGUGAGGUAAUGGCUCACCAAGGCGACGACGGGUAGCCGGCCUGAGAGGGUGACCGGCCACACUGGGACUGAGACACGGCCCAGACUCCUACGGGAGGCAGCAGUGGGGAAUAUUGCACAAUGGGCGAAAGCCUGAUGCAGCGACGCCGCGUGAGGGAUGACGGCCUUCGGGUUGUAAACCUCUUUCAGUAGGGAAGAAGCGAAAGUGACGGUACCUGCAGAAGAAGCACCGGCUAACUACGUG